UAUGACUUCAGUCCCUUUCAGAAGGAAACAAAUGUAUUUCUUUAAAAUAGGCAUCUUUGAAUCAGAAGAAAUUAACCCAUUUUAUGUGUAAGUGGACACAAAGACCAUGAUUUCUUUGCCCAGUAUGUAACAUUUAUUAAGAAAUUACAGAAGAUACUGAAUCACAGAUAUAAUUGAAAUAGCCAACAGGCAAAGGGGAGGAUGGAAUCAGAUGCUGAAAUAUGGAAAAGUCUCGUCUCCUUCUUAGAAGCUGAACAUUGGGUGAAGAGCUUCUAUUCUCAUCAGUGACAUCUGAAGAUGUCACUUAGCUAUACUCUGGUGCCUUUGAUGUUGCAAAAAUUUGGGGACAAACAGAAGCUAGAAAUAGAUCAUAAAGCAGGAGAAAUAGGCUUGUGGACAGUUCAAAAGGAUGAAUUCCACAAUAUGUCAGCAAUAUUCAACCUUGCAUGAAAAUGAGAAAUAGUAUAACCAAAGCAAUUUGAUGAUGAGCAGGUGGUAUGCCGCGUCUGCCGUGGAAAGUCAAGAUAUUCAUUGUAGAAUGAAAUCAGAUAGAAUUCAUAUACUUGGUAGUGCCCGUAACAAAAACCCAAAUGGGAGACUAAGAACUUGUUAGUUGUCCAUGGAUGGUUGAGGCGAUAAAUUGUUCAGAGAUACUGUGUCCUGGGAAAUUUUAAAUGAGCAAUGUGGCUUUUAGCAGGUGGGCUCACAGCAGAUGGGCUCACAGAUGGGCUCAAUGCAGGUGGGCUGGCAGCAGCAGGCUGGGCGGCAGCAGGACUGUCCACAGUAGGAUGGGCGGCAGCAGGAGGCCUGGGCAUAGUACAGCUGGCAGCAGGAGGGGGGUGUGCAGCUCACCACACAGCAGGGAGGCAGGCUGGUGCCCUCCACACGGCAGUCAGGGCGGCACCACCUGGUACGGCUGCUCACAGCUCCGCUGCUACCCACCUGGCCAUAGCCAAUGCUGCCUCCAAUGCUGCCACCAAUGCCACAGCCGGUCUCACAGCCGCUGGUCUGGAGGCAGGUUGGCUGGCUGCAGCUGGAGCCACAGUUUCCACCAGUGGAACAGAUGGGAAAUCCACAGAAGCUAGUGGAACAGCAGGCCAUGGUGUCAGGAGUUGAGAGAGGAGGGUUGUUAAAAGAAGUUUUUGAGUUUUGGCUGCACCUUCUACAUCUGUCCUUUUAUAUAUCCUGUAGAGCCAUGUCAUUUUCCUAACAUUUAGCAUUUUUCCUGGAUACCAUUGCAGAGUCAGUCUCUGAUUGGCUAACGUUUGAGUUGUUAAGAAGGUUAUAAAUAGCAUUUUGAAUAGCCUGCUUUUGUCAUUGUUCAAUUAAAUCUCAUUAUGUUUCUUCUUUGCCCUUUGGGUCAAGCCAAGGCUCAUUAUGGAAGUUGUGUGAUAGAUUAGACUUUGGCUAACCGUUGCCCUGGCUUGCUUUGUCAUAAAUGUCCUUCGAUAACCUUUAGGCAGAGUUUGUCUAAACUGAACAUCCCCUUCCUAAGUGGUCAUUCAAUUAAGGAUCGUGAUUUUGUAAACAAUUUGUCCAGACUUGGAAUGGCUACCUUUAGUGUCAUCAAAACACAAACUAUCACCUGAGUCAUCAACAUUGAAAGAAGUAUGCCUUUCUAUGCUCCAUUUGUUUUUUGUUUUUUUUAGAUAUAAAAAUUAAAAAUUGGACAUAAAUACAGCUUCAAUUCUUUCCUCCAUAUUAGUGAAUUAGAAUACAGGAUCUAUGCUCCAUUUGUGUAAGCUACAGGAUCCUCAGCUCUCUAGUAUUUUUGUUAUUAAUGUACAUAUUCUCAACUGAAACCCUUCGUGACUUUUCCUGUAGAUUGUUUUCUGACUCUGCUAAUUUAAAAAUAAUAAGAUAGUAAUGAAUACACAUUUUAAUAAGUCAAACAGUAUGCAGACAUAUAAAGAAAAGUUAAUGUUAUUCUCCCUUUUCCCAAAACAUAACACAUCCCUCCCAAAACUAGUACUUCAGAGAUAAUCAAUAUUAACAGUUUUAGGGCACACUCUGUCACAUUUCUCCCUGCUUCUGCAAACAUAAACCAGAGUAUGCACAUAUAUAUCAUUUAACUUAGUAGAGUUGGAGUCUCUUAUAUCUAUUUGUGCAAUGCAAGAGACCUGCUUUUGAUCCCUGGGCUGGGAAGAUACCAACUCCAGUAAUCUUGCCUGGAGAACUCCAAGGACAGAGGAGCCUGGCAGGCUACAGUCCAUGGGGUUGCAAAGAGUUGAUACGGCUGAACAACUAACACACUAUACCUAUUUAUUAUUAAAAUUUUUAAAUAAAAUAUACAUAACAUAAAAUUUACCA
ensembl:lncRNA